rnacentral:rRNA from 1 species
GUAAGAGGUGGGCGAGGCGGCGCGGUAAGCGGGAGGUGGGUAGCGUUGGUGGGGAUCACGGGGCGUAAAGCGAAAGUAGGCGGACGCUGUAGUCAGGGGUGAAAUCCUGGAGAUCAAAUCCAGAACGGCCGUUGAUACUGAGGGCCUUGAGUUCGGGAGAGGUGAGUGGAACUGCGAGUGUAGAGGUGAAAUUCGUAGAUAUUCGCAAGAACACCAGUGGCGAAGGCGGCUCACUGGCCCGAUACUGACGCUGAGGUGCGAAAGCGUGGGGAGCAAACAGGAUUAGAUACCCUAGUAGUC